rnacentral:rRNA from 1 species
AUUGAACGCUGGCGGCAGGCCUAACACAUGCAAGUCGAGCGAGCGGCGGACGGGUGAGUCAUGUAUGGGGCUCUGCCCGAUAGAGGGGGAUAACUACUGGAAACGGUGGCUAAUACCGCAUACUAUCGGAUGACCCCAUAUGUGCUUAGCUCGUAGGUGGGGUAAAGGCUCACCUAGGCGACGAUACCUAGCUGGUCUGAGAGGAUGACCAGCCACACUGGGACUGAGACACGGCCCAGACUCCUACGGGAGGCAGCAGUGGGGAAUAUUGCGCAAUGGGGGCAACCCUGACGCAGCCAUGCCGCGGGAAUGAAGAAGGCCUUCGGGUUGUAAAGUUCUUUCGGUAGCGAGGCGUUAACUACAGAAGAAGCACCGGCUAACUCCGUGCCAGCAGCCGCGGUAAUUG